rnacentral:rRNA from 1 species
CCUACGGGAGGCAGCAGUAAGGAAUAUUGGUCAAUGGAGGCAACUCUGAACCAGCCAUGCCGCGUGCAGGAAGAAGGCCCUAUGGGUCGUAAACUGCUUUUGUACCAGAGAAAACCCGAGUACGUGUACUCGGUUGAUAGUAUGGUAAGAAUAAGCAUCGGCUAACUUCGUGCCAGCAGCCGCGGUAAGACGAAGGAUGCAAGCGUUAUCCGGAUUCAUUGGGUUUAAAGGGUGCGUAGGCGGACUGAUAAGUCAGUGGUGAAAUCUCUCGGCUUAACCGAGAAACUGCCAUUGAUACUGUUAGUCUAGAGUAUAGAUGACGUUGGCGGAAUAUGACAUGUAGUGGUGAAAUACUUAGAUAUGUCAUAGAACACCGAUUGCGAAGGCAGCUAACGAAACUAUAACUGACGCUGAGGCACGAAAGUGCGGGGAUCAAACAGGAUUAGAUACCCUGGUAGUCCGCACCGUAAACGAUGAUUACUCGUUGUUGGCAAUAUGACCGUCAGCGACCAAGCGAAAGCGAUAAGAAUCCACCUGGGGAGUACGCCGGCAACGGNGAAACUUAAAUGAAAUUGACGGCNGAGAGNGCGACGGACGACGACGAGGGAGGAGG